rnacentral:lncRNA from 1 species
AAAAAUAAAAAUCUUGCACCCGCCACUUUCAUAAACCCUGAAGGUACAUUGGUUGAAGCUUUUUUAUUAUAAGCUUCCCUGUACAAGUAAAUUUGCUAUUUUUGACAUUAUGUACGCACGGCUGAAUGCUGAUGAAUCAAAUGGUGGUGACUCGUGAGUGAUCCUGACAUUUUUUGGCUCAUCUUCAUGAGGUUCGUUUUAUACAAUUUUAGCCCUUCAGUUUCAAGUGACAAAGAUGUAGGAUUAAAUGUACUUAAGAUUGUUGUAAUUGAAGCUCUCAAGCAUUAGUUUAGUUUUGAGUUAUUUCUGAAUAUAUUUUCUAGAGAGUUGUUUUAUCUGUUGAUUCAAUUCUGAUGAGGAUAUCUUUUAUUGUAUAGUCACAGGCUGCUGUUGUGUGUGUUGCUUAUCUUCUAUGAUCGAAUUUGAUUGUCAAUUAAUUUUCUAUACAAUUAAUAGAUAAAAUUGGUGUUUAUAUCUCUUUAAAGAUUUCUUUCUUCCCUAAAUAUUUCUUGUGGAAUAUCAGUAAUAGUGCUUUGUGGAAUUUGCAAGAAACUAAUGAAGCACCUCAAAUGAUGCUAAAUUAUAUAUAUAUGACACUGAUAUUCUGCUUCCAAUUAUCUAUAUCCAAGUUCCAUUUGUUCCCUUUGAUUUUCCUUUCAGUAUCUCCACCAUUUGCUCUUUGUUUGUUAUAAGGUUCUUCUGUGUUAUUUUUGGUUUUCUUCUAUUUACGUUUUACAUAAUGUGAGUUUUGAGCAAAAAGCUAUAUCAUAAUGACUUGUGUUUAUUUAAUUAUUUGUUGUGGUCAUACUGAAAGUCAAUCACUUCAUCUGUCUCUUUUUGUGAUCUGAAGGCCUGAAAAUCACACUAAAGACCGAUGACAUUAAAAGAGAAUUCAUGAAAUUAAAAAUUUAACAUUAAAGGAUAAAAAUUUAGAUGUGCUGUCAUUUAAUUUUGUUUUUAGAAUCUGUUGUAUAAUUCCCUUUCUUAAAUUACCUGAAUUGUUCUGCAAGUGAAGAUUAUUUUUUUUGGUAACAACUGUAAAAUAUUACCAUAACCACCCAAGAACGGAUACAAAUAAAGAGCACCUAAUUCUGAUAAUAGAGAACAGGCCUCCUACCAAACAUAAAACCAAUUACAUAACAAAUGUUGAAUAAAGUGUCUACAAUUUUUUUGCUUUCUUUGAACUACUAAGUGUAAUCUUUCAAUAAUUUCCUUAUUUAUCUGUGUUACUGCCUCCUUCGUAUGUACACGUUUGUCUGUAAACCUCCUCCAAUUCCUGGCACGCCAAGUGUGGUAUAUGAUAUCUCCACAGAUAGCUGCCAUGAUCUCCUUUUUAAUUGCUUCCGGUGAUUACCUUUUAUGUUUUCCAGGACCUUCAUGAUACUAAUAAUCUGCACUGGUAUUUCAGUCCAAUGGUGCAUAACUUGCCACACAGCUAAUGUCCAUUUGCAUUUCUCGAAUAGGUGAACAUUAGUCUCCAUUACUUUCUCAUCACAUAAACAACAUUCAGUGUCAUCAACCUGAAUAUUCAAUCUCAGCUUUCUCUCCUGUGUAAGAUUUCUAUUUCACUAGAGUAUUAUAUUAUUAAAAGAAUUAAUUAUUGAACAUAAAUUUGCUUCAUAGUCAAAGCACACCAGUAAAAAAGAGUUGGUAUCAAUGAAAACAAAAUUAUGACAUGAGAGAUUAGUACACUUGACUUGAACACAAGUUUCAAAAUAAACCAUGAAGAGAAAACAAAUAAAUAAUUAGCCAUCUUUAUAAUUCUAUACACAAAAUGGAGAUGAAAGUGUAGGUCAGAAAGACCACAGAUUACAGAACUAUGAUCACCAGUCAUCUUUCCUUCUCCGUUGGAUGGCAUUUUAGUUCACUUUUCUCCAUUCUUUUUACACACCUUAUCUCAGAAUCUCCCAUCAAAUUUAACUCUGUGUGUGUGGCGUACCUAGAAUCUAACAACAUCUUUUGACUAAAUACCAUCCUAAAUUACCCCUACAUUUAUACAGUGUGCUAUUGGAAGUUACUCACUUUAGGAAACAUGAAGUUCUUAUCUUUAAUCUAUCACUUACUUGGUUGUUUAAGUUAUUUUUAUUUUAUUGCACGGAGAGUUACUUACAUUUUGAAAAAUGUUGUUCUAAGCUUUUAACAAUUAUUUAUUUGGCGUUCACACUUUGUGAGUGCUCUCUUCAAAACGUGGAAAAAAUAUAUCCUAAAUAGCUUCUACGACAAUCGCAGUAAUGCAUCAAACAAUGACACUGUAGUUUAUCUGAAUUACUCACCUAAUCAAUUAAGAUCUUGACACACUUUCUACAGAUCUUUUAAGAUCCUAGAUGAAACAUAAGUAUCUUUAAAGUUAUAGCUCGCUAAUUACUAUUUUUUGCACUCAGUUUUAGAAUUCUUUAGUUGACGAUUGGUGUUUACUUGAUUUUUGAAGGUAUUUCAAAACAUCUCCCUGUUAUGUGUUUCCGGGAUAGCAAAGGUUGGCUACUAAGCUAGGUAUUGUAUCUCCAACACAAUUGAAAUGAUAGAUCAAGUUAGCUCUGCAAUAUUUACUAAAACUGUAAGUUCUUGAAAUCUUUUGGAUAUCUUUCAUCUUAAAUAUCAGUAGAUUUUCUUAAAUAUUUGUUCAAGGUUCUUCAUUCCUCCAACUGGCCGUGGUUUAGUGUUUAUGUGAUUAUACUUGUUGUCAUUGUUACAGUUCCUUACAUAUAUGCUCCGCAUUAUUUUGUUAAAAGUGUAGAUAGGUAAUAUAAUUAUUCUACAUCACUAUAGUGUAAGAGUAAGUAUGCUAACCAAAAGGGCACUGUGUGUAAUUGCAUCAGGGGCGUAAUAAUAAAAAUUUCUAUUAAUUCUAUUGUAUAGAAACAUGAAGAGCUAGGACGACCAAUGGCAUAACCAUAAAUAUACUCAAUAUUGAAGGGUAAUAUGGUCAUUAUACAACACUAAUUUUUUAGCAAUUAACAUGCGCCUCUUCUAUUUUCCUUCUAGAACAUUCUCUCUCUUCCUUCCAUGUUGCAAUUAAGAGAUGACUCAAGAAAAAGAAUUGGUAAAUUGAUCGGAUCUUUCCUAAACCUCCUCUCUCUAGACCUAAUAUGUGAUCUAUCUAUUUCAUAGACUUCUCUUGUGAUGCUACUAAAGCAGGAAUGGGUGGUGUAAAUGGUUUAAUUAUCGGUAUAUAUAAUCGGUUUAUACACAUAGGUAGCUUUAUGAACUUUAAAAAGGAUAUCUAGAAGGAUUGUAACAUGUCAUAUUCUACAAUUCUGAAGAGUAAGCAUGAUGAAUCUUUCUGAUUGAUAAAAAUGGCCUCGAGAGGGAUUGUAACAUGUCAUAUUUUUACAAUUGUGAAGAAUAAGCAUAUGUUGGAAUAUGAAUUUCAUAAAUUGUUGUUUCUUUCUGAUGAAUGUAGUAUAAUUGGUGCAGGUGAUUGACGGUUUAGUUCCAUUAACAGAGAUGUUCAAUUGCGUUAGUAAAACUUGAAAGGGAAUGACAAAGGAGCAUGCAUCGUACAUUAUGCAAUUAGGCAAGUUUGAUGUUGUCCCUCAACACAUUCAAAUCAGCUUGCCAAAAAGGAAGAAGCAGCAGUUGUUUAGUCAGUCAGCUUUCAAAUUUGGAUCCACGAACUUAAAAAUAGGUAUUUUUACUCAAUGAAGGGACUGCUCUUUGACAUCAUCUUGUCUUUUGGUGUUGCAAUUUCAGUUUGAUCUUUUAUCUUAAUUUUAGCCAUUAUUUUAAGAUUCUCUUUACAUUUUCCAACAUGGUUGAAGCGGUUAUAUUUUGACUAGCUUUCACUGCCAUAAAUUUCAUAGAGGCAAGUCAACAUGCCGGUUUUAUACUGAUUUGUUGUGAAUUUCAACCUCUUACUUGUUCUCCUAUGCUUGGUGGUUAAUUUCUUUAAAUUUUUUUACUCAACGGUUAGUCUCCCGUGGUUUCCACUCCAAGUCCACCAAUCCAACGUAAACUUGCCAACAUCGUAUUUCAUGAAACUUGUGUGCACUUACCAAACUACCCUGCCCCUUCGCCCUCAACCAUUAGCUCCCACGCCUAAUAACAAGGACAUCAUAGUAAAAUCACUUUGUUACCGUAAUCGAACAGACCCCAUAGAAUAUAGUUGGACUGGUUAUUUUUUUCUUUAACUUCUUUAAUAAUAAUUAAGAAUCUACGUUAACACUUGACUAAUAGUAUAUGAGUUCCCUCUGUUCUUUUUUCCAUCAUAAAGUUUAAUUUUUCUUUGUUGUUUCUAAAUUAAAACUUGUAUUCUUUUAAUUCCAAUCUUUUAACCUUUUAGGUGAACCAAGAAAAGAAAAAAUGUUGGAUGCAUAAAAGAAUAACAAGUUUUAUUCCCAAUGGUAAGAGUGACAAUUUGUUAGGGUUGGUUUUUUUUUUCCAUAAAUAUUUUUCAGAAUGUAGAAAAUUAUUUUUCUUGUUAAUUUUGCUUAUGUUGUGGGAAUUUUCUGAUAUAACAAGAGUCUACAAUCAGGCAGACGAAAACUCAAAUCGAAAUGAUCAGGAAGUAGAGAUAUGCAAUGUAGAAAUAUUUGAAGAAUGAUAUAACUGGCGUCUUAAAAUAUGGAUUGGAUGUCAACCCCUGCCACAGGGUAAUUUUCUUUUGUUGGAAUUGAUCCAUCUAUAUAUUCUGUUAUUCUAUCACUUAGUUUUAUUUUAUAUGGCCUCUUUCUUUAUACUGAUUUGUUGUGAGUUUUAGUUUUAUUUUAUAUGGCCUGUUUCUUUAUACUGAUUUGUUUGAGUUUCAACCUCUUACGUGUUCUCCUAUUCUUUGGUGGUUAAUUCCAUUAGUUUUUUUGUAUGUGCAUGUUAGUUCGUGCACAUAUCUUUUCUUCUACUUGAUUUUCCUAAAACCAAAUACACGCUAUCACUAAGAAUAAUGGUCUAUUGAGUUCUCUUCCUCUCAAUGCAACUGCAUUGCUUUGGCUAAUUUAUAUGAGCUUAAGGAAAAAGAAAAUGUAGAGUGAAUUUUUUAAAAAGAAAAUGUAGAGUGAUUUUUUUUUCUUUCUUUCUUUUCGGUGAUUACUAAGAAAGGCUAAUGAUCUAAAUUUAUGCAUUCUCUAAGUUGGUCUUUUUCAUAAGCACCAUGCCAAGUCAAAAAGGGCCACAUAAAAUAGGAUAGAUGGAGUAUAAUUUUUUUUUAAAUGUACUUCCUAUCAUAAAUAGUUAUUUUUGUAAUGAAAAAAUUAACAUAAAAUGUAUUCUUGAUAAAAAUAUUAGCCCCCCCCCCCUCCCCCUAAAAUUGAGGGCCCAAGGCAUGUGCUUACUUUUUAUAGCAUAGAGUUUACCAUGUGUUGCAAUUCUCAAGCCUUAAUUAGCUCUUGAAGAAGGUUAGCAACCACAUAUAUCUUCCUUCUCAGAAAUAUUUAUGCACAAAUAUACUUAUAUACGUGCAAGAUGUUUUAACAGUAAAUAUUGAAAUAUAGCGCAAGACUCUUCUCAUAUGAGCCAGACAUGUUUCAAUAUUCUAUGUGCUAAGAGGAUUCUUCCAUGAUUGUGAUUUUGAAUUUUGCAAUGUGAAUGACAGGAAUACUUUCUUGAAUCUAUUUCCUUAGGGCAUUGAGUGAAGGUUGUUCCUUUCAAAUUCACAUAUAACUUGGUAUAUGUUAAUUCUUUGUGGUUAUCUUCAGUAUUUUAUUUUAAAUUGACAUAUAACUUGUAAUAUGCUGGUUCUUUGUGAUUGUCUUCACUAUUUUAUUUUUACUUUUGCUUUAAGUGCUACUAUUUUUAUGAACAGUUGUUAUUUCGGAACUUUUAUUCCUUUCCUUGAGAUAUUAAAGCUGGAGUAUAUAGUUCGUGCUGAGUGAAGGAAAUUUUGCAUCUUAUCAAGACAAUUGCAAACACUCGAGGCAUCAAUGGAUUUAUGAAACGGAAUUUUAUUACUCUACAUGCAGCUCCAUUUAAGGAUACCAACUUCUAUUCUUUUGAAAAAUACAGAGAGCAUCUACUCAAAUUUACUACUAAUGAUUCAAGGCAUCACUAGAUUUUGUAAAAUGAAUUUUGUCAUAUUCUAUGAUUAGCUCUAUGUAAGUCUAUCCACUUCUAUUUUCUUAUGAUAAAUAUUGAAAAGUAUUUAGAAGAUAGUUGUCUGCAAUGUAAAGUUAUUUGUGGAAAGGGAGAAAUUAGUUGUAUUAUUGCACUUUGAAGUUCAUUUGUAUAACUUAUGCAAUGAUCUAUUAGCUUUUACAAUAUAUACUCUUAUCCGAGUAACUAUGCAAAGUACAUACCACUUGAAAAUGCUAAAUGUUGGGCCCGUGUAAGCACGGGCUAUAUCCAUCUAGUCUAUCUAUUAUAUAGAAACGUGAUGAGAGGACGACCACUGGC